UUAAAUUGAAGAGUUUGAUCAUGGCUCAGAUUGAACGCUGGCGGCAGGCCUAACACAUGCAAGUCGAACGGUAACAGGAAACAGCUUGCUGUUUCGCUGACGAGUGGCGGACGGGUGAGUAAUGUCUGGGAAACUGCCUGAUGGAGGGGGAUAACUACUGGAAACGGUAGCUAAUACCGCAUAACGUCGCAAGACCAAAGAGGGGGACCUUCGGGCCUCUUGCCAUCGGAUGUGCCCAGAUGGGAUUAGCUAGUAG
rnacentral:rRNA from 1 species